rnacentral:lncRNA from 1 species
AUGGACUCAGUACAGAAAUUGGUAUCUGAGUCUGACAACCAAAAACCUAACCAAAACACAAUACAAAGGAGACGGCGCUCCUGUUUGCCAGCUGGGCGGCUGACGCUGGAGCUGUCGCCCCUCCCUCGGCACCCGCAGGAAAAAACAGUGCUGCCUGCCCUGCGGUCCUCCACCCGCCCGCUGAUGCUGUGUGGGCGUUGCAGUCUUUCCUCUCUCUGCUUAUUCUGCCCAUGGGAUAUCUCCCCAGACUUUCUCUCCCAGCUGCGUCUGCGUCCGUCCUUUGUCAUGAUGACUGGGAGUGGUCACAGCCUGCCCCAGCAGGCACCCACCACCCUGGCCAAACCCCAGCCCUUUCAGAAGGGGUUCAGGGUUGGGCGUGGGGGUACCUCUGUCACCUCAGCAAGCUUCUUUCUUUGGCCGGACUUGUCUUUAACCUGCACGAUGUGUAGACAUUUCCUGGCGCAGGCCCAGCAGGGAGGGAGCAGCCACCCCUGCCAUAGUGUUCUCACCCAAGUAGUUUUAGACACGAUGUUUGAGACUCUGUCUCAGGAAGCUCUGGAGCCGGUGUCGUCCAUUAACAAGCGCUGUCUCCUCCGAAGGUCUCCAUCCAGGGAUCCGGGUGAGGGAGCCAGAGCCCUGAGACUUCCUAAGCUGCCUGCCUGCUCUGCCCUGCUGCCAGCGUCUGAGUCAGUGGCAGCCCCUCCCUCGCCGCCUGGACCGCCCGUCAGAAGUGAUCUUACGGGAGAUUUCCUGAAAGCAAGUUUCAGCAAGAAGCUGGAAAGGCUUCUCAGGAAGAAGGUCAGGCUGGCAGUAAUCAGGGUGCACCCAGGCACUCGGCAAUCGUCCCCAGUGAGAACAGACGGAGCCCUCCCCACAGGUGGGACGGUGGUGUACACGUAUGGACAGCACUCUCGGGAACACCAUCUGUAA